GUGAUCAUAACCUUUGGCAGUACAUAUACUAAAAUUGGAAUGAUACAGAGAAGAUUAGCAUGGCUCCUGCUCAAGGAUAGCACACAAAUUUGUGAAGCAUUCCAUAUCACA
rnacentral:snRNA from 1 species